rnacentral:rRNA from 1 species
AGAAUAAACGUUGGCGGUGCGCCUUAUGCAUGCAAGUCGAACGGAGUUACGGUCUUCGGACUGUAGCUUAGUGGCGAACGGCUGAGUAACACGUAAGUAACCUGCCUUAGAGCGGGAAACAACUCCGAGAAAUCGGGGCUAAUGUCCCAUGUGGUAACCAGACACAAGUCUGGUUACUAAAGUCUUCGGGUGCUCUGAGAGGGGCUUGCGUCCGAUUAGCUUGUUGGUGGGGUAACGGCCCACCAAGGCUAUGAUCGGUAGCUGGUCUGAGAGGAUGGUCAGCCAGAUGGGGACUGAGACACGGCCCUAACUCCUACGGGAGGCAGCAGCAAGGAAUUUUGGGCAAUGGGCGAAAGCCUGACCCAGCGACACCGCGUGAGGGAUGAAGGCCUUCGGGUUGUAAACCUCUUUUCUUGGGGAAGAAUUCUGACGGUACCCAAGGAAUAAGCCUCGGCCAACUACGUGCCAGCAGCCGCGGU